rnacentral:misc_RNA from 1 species
AUGGAGUUCCACAACAAAGAAAAAUGGAAGAGCACAGAAUACGGAUAUCCAGUGAAUGGCUUCAAGGUCUAUCCAAGGGUUCAAGUCACGAACUGGAGUUGUUCUCUCUCCAUGGCCUGAAAAUUGUGCAGGCGCAUCGGGGUUUUAUACGCUGUAAUUUCGUGGUCUCCAAUCGCAUAUCUGAUGGACAUGGGAAUUGGCAUGUGGGCGC